rnacentral:rRNA from 1 species
AUACGGAGGUUGCGAGCGUUGUUCGGAUUUACUGGGCGUAAAGGGAGCGCAGGCGGCCAGGUCAGUCUAAAAUGAAAGUCCGGGGCUCAACCCCGGAAUUGCUUUGGAUACUGCUUGGCUUGAGUACGUGAGAGGUAGGCGGAAUUCCAGGUGUAGCGGUGAAAUGCGUAGAUAUCUGGAGGAACAUCGGUGGCGAAAGCGGCCUACUGGCACGAAACUGACGCUGAGGCUCGAAAGCGUGGGGAGCGAACGGGAUUAGAAACCCCGGUAGUCC